rnacentral:rRNA from 1 species
GACGAACGCUGGCGGCGUGCUUAACACAUGCAAGUCGAACGGUGACGGCAGAGCUUGCUCUGCCUGACCAGUGGCGAACGGGUGAGUAACACGUGAGUAACCUGCCCCUCACUUCGGGAUAACCCCGGGAAAUCGUGGCUAAUACCGGAUAUGAGACCUUAAUGCAUGGUCGGGUAUGGAAAGAUUUGUCGGUGGGGGAUGGACUCGCGGCAUAUCAGCUUGUUGGUGAGGUAACGGCUCACGAAGCCGACGACGGGUAGCCGGCCUGAGAGGGCGACCGGCCACACUGGGACUGAGAUACGGCCCAGACUCCUACGGGAGGCAGCAGUGGGGAAUAUUGCACAAUGGGCGAAAGCCUGAUGCAGCGACGCCGCGUGAGUGAUGAAGGCCUUCGAGUUGUAAACCUCUUUCAGCAGAGAAGAAGCGAAAGUGACGGUACCUGCAGAAGAAGCGCCGGCUAACUACGUG